GACGAACGCUGGCGGCGUGCUUCACACAUGCAAGUCGAACGGUGAAGCCCCUUCGGGGGCGGAUCAGUGGCGAACGGGUGAGUAACACGUGGGCAACCUGCCCCUGACUCUGGGAUAACCCCGGGAAACCGGAGCUAAUACCGGAUACGACCUCUGACCGCAUGGUCUGGAGGUGGAAAGUUUUUCGGUCAGGGAUGGGCCCGCGGCCUAUCAGCUUGUUGGCGGGGUAACGGCCCACCAAGGCGACGACGGGAGCCGGCCUGAGAGGGCGACCGGCCACACUGGGACUGAGACACGGCCCAGACUCCUACGGGAGGCAGCAGUGGGGAAUAUUGCGCAAUGGGCGAAAGCCUGACGCAGCGACGCCGCGUGAGGGAUGAA
rnacentral:rRNA from 1 species